rnacentral:rRNA from 1 species
AUCAACUUUCGAUUGGUAGGAUAGAGGCCUACCAUGGUGGUAACGGGUAACGGGGUGUUAGGGCACGACACCGGAGAGGGAGCCUGAGAAACGGCUACCACAUCCAAGGAUGGCAGCAGGCGCGCAAAUUACCCAAUCCCAACACGGGGAGGUAGUGACAAUAAAUAACAAUACAGGGUUCUUUUGGAUCUUGUAAUUGGAAUGAGUACAAUUUAAAUCUCUUAACGAGGAACAAUUGGAGGGCAAGUCUGGUGCCAGCAGCCGCGGUAAUUCCAGCUCCAAUAGCGUAUAUUAAAGUUGCUGCAGUUAAAAAGCUCGUAGUUGAAUUUCGGAACCAAUAUGUUGGUUGUGCCUCGGUACGUACUGGCAUUGUUGGUUUCUCCCUUCUGACGAACUAUGAUGUCAUUAAUUUGGUGUCAUGGGGAAUCAGGACUGUUACUUUGAAAAAAUUAGAGUGUUUAAAGCAGGCUCACGCUUGAAUACAUUAGCAUGGAAUAAUGAAAUAGGACGUUUGAUUCUAUUUUGUUGGUUUCUAGGAUUGACGUAAUGAUUAAUAGGGAUAGUUGGGGGCAUUAGUAUUCAAUUGUCAGAGGUGAAAUUCUUGGAUUUAUUGAAGACUAACUACUGCGAAAGCAUUUGCCAAGGAUGUUUUCAUUAAUCAAGAACGAAAGUUAGGGGAUCGAAGACGAUCAGAUACCGUCGUAUAAACUAUGCCGACUAGGGAUCGGAUGAUGUUAAUUUUUUAAUGACUCAUUCGGCGCCUUACGGGAAACCAAAGUGUUUGGGUUC